rnacentral:rRNA from 1 species
UACGUAGGGAGCAAGCGUUGUCCGGAAUCAUUGGGCGUAAAGCGCGCGUAGGCGGCCCGGUAAGUCCACUGUAAAAGUCCAGGGCUCAACCCUGGAAAGCCGGUGGAUACUGUCGGGCUAGAGUCCGGAAGAGGCGAGUGGAAUUCCUGGUGUAGCGGUGGAAUGCGCAGAUAUCAGGAGGAACACCGAUGGCGAAGGCAGCUCGCUGGGACGGUACUGACGCUGAGGCGCGAAAGCGUGGGGAGCGAACAGG